AUGUUCAAGUAGAAGCCAUCCGCUUCUCACCUCAUGGCUAGAGUCGAUGAGGUAUCUUCGGGUCCUGAGCUUAAUUUGCUUGCUCACGAUUUGUUAGAAGACGGGUGGAUCUCUGCCCGUCUUUUUUGUUUUUG
rfam:Desulfitobacterium dichloroeliminans LMG P-21439, complete genome.